rnacentral:piRNA from 1 species
UCAUUUUCAGGGGGAGAACCUGGC